rnacentral:lncRNA from 1 species
CUAUUGAAAGAUAUGUAUUUAGUGUCAUCGUAAUACCUAUUCAGUCCCUGUUUUUGUGGAUUAUUUCUUUGGGCUUCCUCUUUCUUUUACAGAGUCCACCUUAAUAUUUCUUACAGAGCUGGUUUGGUGGUCACAUAUUCUUUCAGUUUCUGCCUAUCUUGGAAGCUCUUUAUCUCUCCUAUUCUGAAUGAGAGCCUUGCUGGAUAGAGUAUUCUUGGCUGCAUGUUCUUCUCAUUUUGGACUCUGAAUAUGUCCUGCCAGCCCUUUCUGGCCUGCCAGGUCUCUGUGGAGAAGUUUGCUGUUAAUCUAAUAUUUCUCCCCAUAUAAGUCAGGUAUCUCUUGUCUCUUACUGCUUUAAGGAUUUUCUCUUUAUCUUUGCACUUUACAAGUUUCACUAUUAAAUGUCAAGGUGUUGAGCAGUUUUUAUUGAUUUGGGGGGGAAUCUCCCUAUCUUCUGGCUCUGAAUGCCUGUUUUCCUCCCCAAAUUAGGGAAGUUCUCAGCUAUGAUUUGUUCAAAUAUGCUUUCUGGCCCUCUGGCCCUCUCUGUGCUCUCUGGAACCACAAUGAUACAUAGAUUUUUCCUUCUUAGGCUAUCAUUUAUUUCCCUUAACAUUUCCUCAUGGUCUUUUGUUUUUCUCUUUUUUCCUCAGCUUCCUUCCUUGCCAUCAACUCGUCUUCUAUGUCACUCACUCUUUCUUCUACCUCAUCAACCCUCAUCGCUAGGACUUACAGUUUGGAUUGCAUCUCAUUUAAUUGAUUUUUUAAUUUCUGCCUGAUUAGAUCUAAAUUUUGCAGUCAUGAAGUCCCUUGAUUCUUUUAUUCUUUUUUCCAGAGCCACCAGUAGCUUUAUAAUUGUGCUUCUGAAAUGGCUUUCUGACAUCAAAUUGUUAUCCAGAAUCUGUAACUCUGUGGCAGAGAGUACUGUUUCUGAUUCUCUCUUUUGUGGUGAGUUUUCUUACUAAUCAUUUUGUUCAGUGCAGAGUGGCUGUAUGAUUGGGCUGAGUCAAGAAUAUCAACCACGACCUAAGUAAAUUUCACCCUAGAUGAUUCUUUCCGAGAUCAGAGACCAGAAAUUGAAAACAAAGAUCAGAAUGAAAUAACACAAAAGGACCACUAAAGUGAAAAACACAUUUUAAAAUAAAUUAGUGAAAACUAAAAGACCAAGAAUCCCAAAGAAAAAGAGAGGAAAAAAAAAAGGAAAAAAGAAAAAAGAAAAGGAGGGAUAAAAAGGGGGAGACUGGGAGAUGGUGAUGGUGAUGAAGUUGUAGUGGGGGGAGAAUGUAGACUACCUGAGGGGUUCUAAAGGGUGAUCCUCUUGGUUCUGAGUAUAUUAAGUUCUGUAUGUUAGAAGAUGCUUAGUCCCAAAUUUAUAUAAACCAGAAAUACUUGUAGAGGGCCCCAGCAUUGACCAUGAAAACAUAAAUGAGAUAAAAGAGGGGGGGGCAGAAUGGGAAUGAGGAAUCUCACAGACUGAACCAGCACGGUAUACCACUUGGUUCUGGGUACAUACUGGUCAUGUCUUAGAAGGCAUUAACUUCUGCCAUUGUAGAACAAAAUGAGGCAGAGAAACAAAAAACACAAACAAACAAGCAAACAUAUCUUGUAUAUCUCCCAAAAUUAAGUUGAGUAUGUUGAAGGGAAUCUAGAAGUGGAAAAUAUAUCUAGGACCUAUAAUAGUAGAAAUAUGAAAGUCAAAAAGAGAGAAUCUUAAAAAUGAAAAGGUGGUAAAAUAUUGUAGUUAAGGUGGGAAAAGAGGAAAAAAAAUGGAAAUUUAGUGUCUGAUAUAAAAAUGAGUUGUACUGGAAAAAGGAAGAAGAAAAAUAGGAGAGUUACCCUCUAGUUCUAUGUACUAUAAAUCCCUCGACUUCCCCUGGAGCUUUCCAUCCCUGCUCAGUCUAGAACUUGCUCUUCCCCUGACCUUCUAGCUGGUCUCUGGGGGAGGGGCUGCCGUGCUCUCAGGUGUGUGCACCUGGGGGAUAUGCCCUGCCCCCUGCCAGGUGCACAGCUCAGUGGGAGCUGUUGACCCCAUGAGUUCCCUGCCCACCCCCACCCCCCCAGGUACAGGGUGACACCAGGAGGAACAAACAGACUGGCAGCGGCCAGGUCCCCUGCCCUGGAGUCAGCUCCCGCAGUAGCUACCGCAGUCUCCCCCACAGGGGCCUGGAUGCUCCAGGGGCAGAGCGCGCUGACCUACACAGUUGGGGGCCACCCGGCAGGAGCGUCCUUGCUGUCCUGGGCCCUCCCGGCCUCCACCUGUCCCGGGGGGCAGGGAGGGCAGAGCGCAGGUUCCUGGGCUUUGUCCCCGGCGCCCUGGGCUCUGGGGCCUGAGCGGCUGGAAUAGCGCUCCUGGGGGCUCAGCCCCCUCCGCGGAGCCACUGCCCGAGCUGCUCCUGAGGCCCCCCCCGGCGCACUGCAGCCCUUUAGGGAGCUUGGGCACAGAGUGUGGCGCCCCUCCUCUGUUAGUGACCCCGGGAACCUGGGGGCUCCACGGCCCCUCCUGGGAUCCUGUCUGAGUUCCCUGCCAGCAACUUUUCUGUCCGGGAAGAAUCCGGUGCGGAUUUUUAAAGUUCCUGCUUCUCCAGGGCGGAGCUCUCCUGUCCCGGAGGCUCCCGCUGCUCCCCUUAGCCCGGCUCCUCGAGGGUGACCCUCCCCCACUGGAUUCUUUUGUAUUUUUUCCACCUUCCUACCUUGUUAGAAGACAAACCUCUCUCUGUAGUGUUCCAGCCAUUCUCUUGUUAAAUCCCAGGUCAAAUUCAUAGGUGUUCAGGAUGAUUUGAAAGUUAUCCAGGUGAUUUGAGGGGACCAGGUGACUUGGAGACCCUACUCCUCCACCAUCAUGCCCCGCCAUCCCAUUCUUUUUGAUUUUAACAAAUACAUGUUUUAAAUCUUUAUCAACUGUAUUGAUAAAGCUAAAACAUGAUAUUUCUAUGACCAGAGCUUAGUAACAUCCAUAGAAGAUUCCAUUAAAGUAGACAUUGAUCCCUAAUUCAGCAAUCCUAAAACUUGAUUAUUUCUUCUUUUGCUUAUAAGGCUAUUGUGAAUAACUGUAAAGCCUCUUGCUGAAAUUCACAUUAACUACAGCAUUUUUUCAGUAACUCCUUCAGAAGGAAAAUUCAGUUAACUUUAUAAUCCUCGUUUUAGUGAAUUUAUAUUCCUGAUGACUACUGCUUCUUUUCUUACAUCUGUCAUGACACAAAACAACUAUUUAAUGACUCAUCCUACUAUAUUACAAAUAAUAGAUUCAAGCACACUGCACUGUAGAUUUAGCUUUUUUGUUAGAAAUCAGUACAAAGUUUUCCUAUCUCUAGACUUCAGGCAUGUGAUAUGAGCUACAAACCUCUUCAAUUAGAAUAUAGAUAGUAUUUUUAUUUUGUAAAUGGUUUCUUAUAUUCUUAGAGAGCUAUAAAUGAUUAAAUCAUUAUGUUCAAUAGUUUUCUUUCUAGUUUUUUUGUUUUGUUUUAGAGAGAGAGAGAGACUGCAUGAGUGUAUGAGUGGGAGCAGGUAGGGGAAGAGGGUGAUGGGGAGAGAGAAAAUCUUAAGCAGUCUCCACCCCUAGAGUGGAGCCUGACAUGGGGCUGGAUCUCAUAAUCCUAAGAUCAUAACCUGAGCUGAAAUCAAGAGUCUGACACAUAACUGUUUGAGCCACCCAGCUGCCCCUUUUAUAGUUUGUUUUGAUGGGUCUUAUUUAAGAAAUAUUUAUGUAUCCUAUCAUCACACCAUACACAAAUUCAAAUCCAGGUUGACAGAAUCUUAUUACGAAAAUCAAAUAUGUCAAAACAUUUAAAGGAAUAUAUAAAGUAUCUAAGAUGAUAGGGUAUAUAUGGAUUUCAUAAACAAGAUUGAGCAAAGACAAAUUUUAAAUAAAAAAAUUGAACUGAAUUACUCAAAUUAUGUAUCAGUUUAUUAACACUCAUAUAUAUUUAUAUAUUCUGAGUACUAAAAGUUCUCAUCAAUGAAUAUAGUAUACUUAGCUACUGUGGUCUUAUUUUUUGAUCUUCAAUAAAGUUUUGUUUUUCUUCAAUAGUAAAUAUUUUAUUUUAAAUAAACAGAGAAAGAAAGAAAGAAAGAAAGAAAGAAAGAAAGAAAGAAAGAAAGAAAGAAAGAAAGAAAGAAGAAAGAAAGAAAACGAACAUGUAUGUUCAAGCAGGGCGCUGUGGAUGGAGAGGAAGAGGGAGAAAGUCUCAAGCAGACUCUGCUCUCAGCAUGGAGCCUGAUGUGAGGCUGGAUCUCAUGACUCAGAUCAUAACCUGAACCCAAACCAAAAGUUAGAUGCUUAAUAAACUGACCCAUCAAGGCUUUUCUUUCAAUAAAGUUUUAUAAUUAUUUUCUAAAAUUUUUGCAGGACUUUUUCUUGUUAAUCUUCUCCUAGAAUUCCUAUACUUUUUGAUGAUAUUAUAAAUGGAAUCUUCUUUUCAAUUAUAGUUUCUAAUUGUUUCUUGUUGGUAGAUAGAAACACUACUUGUUUUUGUAAAGUGAUUGUGUUGAGUGAUAUUACUGGGCUUUCAUUGAUUUAUAUAGAUUAUUGCUCUAUUAUCUUGGAUUUUCUAUUAAAAUAAUAAUAUCACUGAAUAAUAGCAAUCUUUAUUUCUUCUUUUCCACUCUU